UACGGGGGGGGCAAGCGUUGUUCGGAAUUACUGGGCGUAAAGGGUUCGUAGGUGGCCAACUAAGUCAGACGUGAAAUCCCUCAGCUUAACUAGGGAACUGCGUCUGAUACUGGAUGGCUUGAGUGUAGGAGAGGAAUGCGGAAUUCCAGGUGUAGCGGUGAAAUGCGUAGAUAUCAGGAGGAACACCGGUGGCGAAGGCGGUUCUCUGGGCAUGUCCUGACGCUGAGGAGCGAAAGUGUGGGGAGCGAACAGG
rnacentral:rRNA from 1 species